rnacentral:rRNA from 1 species
UACCAAGGCGAUGAUGCAUAGCCCGAGUUGAGAGACUGAUCGGCCACAUUGGGGACUGAGACACGGCCCAAAAACUCCUACGGGAGGCAGCAGUAGGGAAUCUUCCACAAUGGACGCAAGUCUGAUGGAGCAAACGCCGCGUGAGUGAAGAAGGGUUUCGGCUCGUAAAGCUCUGUUGUUGGUGAAGAAGGACAGGGGUAGUAACUGACCUUUGUUUGACGGUAAUCAAUUAGAAAGUCACGGCUAACUACGUGCCAGCAGCCGCGGUAAU